AGAAAGGGCGGCUCACGCAGGCAGGCGCUGCAGGUGGAUCCAAGUUCCCUAAUCGCGGAGACCUCACUGCGGCCCCACACCGCUCCUCUCCUGUAGCGUCAGGACCUGGAGAGCUUGAACACACCACUUGGUCGGAAAGCCUUGCACACAGUCUGUCCUUGCUGCACCAACGGGGCCAGCAGCACCCCCUGCGCUUGCCAAGGCUGAGGUGAGGAAAAAACACCCCCAAGACCCUGGACGGGGCCCAGCUCUCAGCAGCUGCAGUGGCUCCAGGCCCGUCACUUCGUUGCUGGGUCUCCUUUUCCGCAGGGAGUUGUGGUGAGGCUGAGAUGAGAACACGUGUGAAGUGUCGUGUAAACUGGUGGAUAACAAUAACCCGUCCGUCCGCCUUCUUCCUGCCUGUCCUCCCUGGUGCCUUUUCAAGUUAUUGGGAGGGGGCUAGCCAGGGGUAGGAGACGCAUCUAGGGUGCUCAUCCAGUUCAUAUUCUCUGGAGAAUAUGUCCCUCCAUGUCCUGGCUGUGUGACCUUCAGCAAGUGACUCAACUUCUCUGUGCCUCAAUCAGACAUUGGCUAAAUGGGAGUAAUAUUAUUAAUACCUACCUCAUGGGGUUGUCAUGAGGAUUAAACAACGCAUGUAAAGUACUCCAUUCUGUAAGUGCCUGGCACAUAGUAAGCAAUCAACAGGAGUCAGCUCUGGGUAUGCCCCACCCCUGGGGGAAAAGAAGCAGAGGCCAGCAAAGGGGCAUGGCUGAUUCUUGUUGGCGUUCCAGUGCCGGGACACUGUUCUGUACCUCCAUCUUUAGGUUCCCGCUGCUUUGUCAUCCUCUUUCCAGUGAAUCACCUUUUUUGGGUAAAAGUUAGGAUCUCUGUUACUCCUGACUGAACCUUAACACUGGAAUGUAAAAGAAACAACAAACAUCAUUUUCCUAAACUAAAUUAAUCUCACCUCAGGCUUGUAUCUCCUUGAGGGGGAUCGUCCACUUUUUAUUUCUGGAGAACCCCUCCCCCCAACUCCAUGGGCUCAUCAGGAGUCCCGAGGAUUUCAGGGGAAUAGGAGCACGAGAAGGGGCCUGGGCCACAGUCCUGGGUGGCCAUCGCUGCCUCUCCUGUUCCUGAGCACUGCCUCCACCUCCAGAGGCUCCGAGAUGUCCCCCACAGGGUCUUCCUGGGUGGCCACGGGCACGCACAGGGAGCUCUGUGGACUUGUGCAGGGCACCUGCCAUGUCGCCUGGGCAGUCUGACCUUCCCACUGGAGGAGUCCAAGGCCUAGGCUCUGUCCCUGCCAGGCCUUGGGCAACCCAAGUGGAUUUUCUUGGGCCUCAGCAGCCCCUGAAGCAACAACAGUCAGUCGGCCUUCUGUCCCCAUCUCUCCUUUUCUCUGAGAGCCUGGCUGAGGAGCGUGAGGCCUGUCUGUCUUUCCAGAUUGAGGAAGUGAACAUUCCUCCCGUUUCAUUCCUCACGCGCAGACAGUUUAUUUCACAGCCAUCCUGCACACUUGCAGCCAAAGAUGUGUGAACGAAGAACAAAGAGUGUGGCUCACCACCCAGUUCUGCAAGGGUUAAGUCUUAACCCACUGCAGUCCCACCAACAGUGCACCCUGAGAGGAAUUCAGGAUAAAAAACAGGAUGAGACACCCUGUGCUUUGGAUAAAUGGGCCCCUAGAUAGUUAGAUGUAUAUCUCAGGAAGAAUUUCCAUGACCCUAUAUAUUUUUGCAUCUUCCCAUACAUAAGAAAGCACUAAAAUCAUUAACUUGAGAUAUCUGUUCUUUGUGACUAGCAGUAAUCUUUUACCAAGAUGUAUGCUUGAUUGCAAGUAUUUCCUAGCCAAAAAUCAUAUAUAAACUGGCUUUUCCCCUCUUCCUUCAGAGCAGUUUCCUCUGAGCUGCUGAGUGGCGUCUCUGGGCUAUAGUCCUCAGCAGGACCCUGAAUAAAAUUUAAACUCACAACUCUCAUGCUGUGUGUCUUUCUUUGAGUCAACAGAUGUCUCAAAGGAGGCCACAGGGUUCAGGGGAAAUGAUGCUGAAGUCUUGGCAGGCGGAUUCUUAACCACUGCGCCACCAGGGAAGUCCCCCACCGUGUGUCUUUGCAUGUGACGAUUCCUCAUCCUGGGUGCCUGGGCUCCACCCGAGAAUCUCCCACCUGUCCCUCUAGAUUCAGCAUCACCCCUCCCAGGGCCUUUCUGUGCACACCCACCCCCAGCUGCUCACCUUUCUGGCUUCAUUUAGCCUGACCUCUGACAACACCAGCCCUUCCCUCGUCUUCCUUUGGAUUACAUCUUGCCCUGUUUUCUCGGUUUCCUCCUGCUUCCCCAGCUGCCCCUCCUCUGUCUCCUUCAGCUCUGCCCGUCUCAUCACUGGUGUUCCUCGCUGCCCCUCUCCAGCCCUCCCCACUCUCUCGCCCUGGGGGAUCUCCUCCCCAUGGCCUCCUGGAUACUGACGCUCCCAGAUCUGCGCCUCCAGCUGGACCUCUGCGGAGCACGAGGCUCUGGACUCCGGCCGACUCCACACCCAAAAGUCACAUCAGCUGAGCGUGUCCACGCCUCAGCUCAUCGUCCCUCUUCCCGCAUCCCUCUCUGUAACAUAGCAUCUCAGGUGCACGUGGCUUUGGAGCAUCCUUCCAGUUCACAAUAACCCCCUUAAUCACAGCCACCUGUCCACCUCCAGCCAUGUUACCCCCUCCCCUCCCUUGGUGCUGGGUCACUUCCCGUGGUUCAGCAGGACACCUCCGCCCAGGUGAGCACGAGCCAGCUGGCCAUUCAGUCUCUUCCCUGGGAAUUUGGAACCAGGUGGUGCUGGUGUUUCUUCAGGUGAAUUGGCCUAUUCUCUGUGGGUGGGAGCUAUGGGAGAGGCAUUUUCCACCACCCUGGGGCCUGGAGAAGCAGGGGCCUGGAGAAGCAGCAGUAGUCGGUCUGAGGAGAGCUGUGCAGGCAAGAUCAAAGGUGAGAAGGCUGAGGCUGAGGCCGAGGCUGGAACGUGAGGUGGCAGGGCAGGGGUCACGCGCCCAUUGUACAGAUGCUGAAGGAGAGUCCAAGGGAAGAACGAUGUGGUCCCCAGGUCAGUAAUCCAGGCUUUUCGGCCUUGACCCUCCUUCCCUCAAGUUCGUCCCGUGCCCCUGAGCUUUUGCUCUCUGCAAGCAGGAGGGUCCCCUGAAUCAUCUGAAAGCCUGUCAUGCUUUGGGUGGCUGGACCCCCCUGCAUCUCUGCAGCUGUGCCCCUCUGCUGUUCCUACCUCUUCCCCAGUGCACUCCUGACAAAGGGGUUGAGAGCAGGGAGGGCGGGACCAACCUGCUGAGUCCGGGCUGGUUUAGGGCCAGGUCAUUCUUUAUCUGGGUUUUCACAGAACAAAGCUGUGCUCUUCCUCCCGGCAGCAGGGGUCCUGGGGUGAGGAGGGGCGCGUACGCAUCCCGCUGGCUCUGGCUUUUGUGUUCUCUCCUAGCCUGGCCUGGGAGCCCAGCAGGCCCAAGACGCUGCAACCCAGACCGGCACAGCCGGCAGGGACUGGGGAGGGCCGCAUAGUCCCAGCAGAGUAGCAGAAUGUUUGCCAGAAAACUCCAACAGGCCAUCUGCUUCCAGAGAGCAGAGCACAUGGUCUUGAAAGAGGCAGCCAGCAGGGGCUAUGGAGCCACGGAGGGCUGCCCUAAGGGAGUUCCUUUUUUAAAGGGAUCUCAGUUCCCUGACCAGGAAUCGAACCCGUGCCCCCUGCAGUGGAAGCAUGGAGUCUUAGCCGCAGAGCAUGUCUGACAAGUUGGGACAAAGCAAUGGGAGUUUGAAGAUUUCUGACAGCCACAGUUCCUAGAAACUUUUAAAAAAUUUUAAAAUAAAUGUUCCAGGAGGACUUCCCUGGGGGCGCAGUGGUUAAGAAUCCACCUGCCAAUGCAGGGGACU